rnacentral:rRNA from 1 species
GGGUCAGUAGGUUGGUCGUGCCACCGGUACGUACUGGUCUCACUGAUUCCUCCUUCCUGAAGAACCGUAAUGCCAUUAAUUUGGUGUUGCGGGGAAAUAGGACUGUUACUUUGAAAAAAUUAGAGUGUUUAAAGCAAGCUAACGCUUGAAUACAUUAGUAUGGAAUAAUGAAAUAGGACGAUCGAUCCUAUUUUGUUGGUUUCUAGGAUUGACGUA